CCGGCGCAAGGGUGCGUAACGCGUGAGCAACAUGCCCGUAUCAGGGGAAUAAUCCAGGGAAACUUGGUCUAAUACCCCAUAGUAAAUAUUAAAGGCAUCUUUAAUAUUUUAAAGCUUUGGUGGAUACGGAUUGGCUCGCGUGACAUUAGCUAGAUGGUAAGGUAACGGCUUACCAUGGCUACGAUGUCUAGGGGUUCUGAGAGGAAGAUCCCCCACACUGGAACUGAGACACGGUCCAGACUCCUACGGGAGGCAGCAGUGAGGAAUAUUGGACAAUGGAUGGAAAUCUGAUCCAGCCAUGCCGCGUGCAGGAAGACGGCCCUAUGGGUUGUAAACUGCUUUUAUAUGGGAGCAAUAAGGCCUACGUGUAGGUUGAUGAGAGUACCAUAUGAAUAAGCACCGGCUAACUCCGUGCCAGCAGCCGCGGUAAUACGGAGGGUGCAAGCGUUAUCCGGAUUUAUUGGGUUUAAAGGGUGCGUAGGCGGUUUGAUAAGUCAGCGGUGAAAUAUUUCAGCUUAACUGGAAGGGUGCCGUUGAUACUGUCAGGCUUGAAUUUAGUUGCUGUGGGUGGAAUGUGUGGUGUAGCGGUGAAAUGCAUAGAUAUCACACAGAAUAUCGAUUGCGAAGGCAGCUCACAAAGCUAAAAUUGACGCUGAUGCACGAAAGUGUGGGGAUCAAACAGGAUUAGAUACCCUGGUAGUCCACACUGUAAACGAUGAUAACUCGCUGUCGGC
rnacentral:rRNA from 1 species